rnacentral:rRNA from 1 species
CCUACGGGAGGCAGCAGUAGGGAAUAUUGCUCAAUGGGGGAAACCCUGAAGCAGCAACGCCGCGUGGAGGAUGAAGGUUUUCGGAUUGUAAACUCCUUUUGUUAGAGAAGAUAAUGACGGUAUCUAACGAAUAAGCACCGGCUAACUCCGUGCCAGCAGCCGCGGUAAUACGGAGGGUGCAAGCGUUACUCGGAAUCACUGGGCGUAAAGAGCGCGUAGGCGGGAUAGCAAGUCAGAUGUGAAAUCCUAUGGCUUAACCAUAGAACUGCAUUUGAAACUGUUAGUCUAGAGUAUGGGAGAGGUAGGUGGAAUUCUUGGUGUAGGGGUGAAAUGCGUAGAGAUCAAGAGGAAUACUGAUUGCGAAGGCGACCUGCUAGAACAUAACUGACGCUGAUGCGCGAAAGCGUGGGGAGCAAACAGGAUUAGAUACCCCAGUAGUC